rnacentral:rRNA from 1 species
GAUGAACGCUGGCGGCGUGCCUAAUACAUGCAAGUCGAGCGAACGGACGAGAAGCUUGCUUCUCUGAUGUUAGCGGCGGACGGGUGAGUAACACGUGGAUAACCUACCUAUAAGACUAGGAUAACUUCGGGAAACCGGAGCUAAUACCGGAUAAUAUUUUGAACCGCAUGGUUCAAAAGUGAAAGACGGUCUUGCUGUCACUUAUAGAUGGAUCCGCGCUGCAUUAGCUAGUUGGUAAGGUAACGGCUUACCAAGGCAACGAUGCAUAGCCGACCUGAGAGGGUGAUCGGCCACACUGGAGCUGAGACGCGGUCCAGACUCCUGCGGGAGGCAGCAGUAGGGAAUCUUCCGCAGUGGGCGAAAGCCUGACGGAGCAACGCCGCGUGAGUGAUGAAGGUCUUCGGAUCGUAAAGCUCUGUUAUUAGGGAAGAACAUAUGUGUAAGUAACUGUGCACAUCUUGACGGUACCUAAUCAGAAAGCCACGGCUAACUACGUG